CUCCCACUGGGUUUGUGUGAACAGAAGGAGAAGCAAAGAUCUGAUCAGAGGAAGACGGCAGAGACGGUGAGGACAACUGGUCACCUGAAAACUAAACGCCUGAGCAGGAGGCCAGACGCAUUUCUGGAGGACAUUUAAUCAGCUGAUAAAAGAUGGCGCAGCAGCAGGAAGUCCAGCAGGAAGUCCAGCAGGAAGUCCAGCAGGAAGUCCAGCAGGAAGUCCAGCAGGAAGUGGAUUUUGGUAAGUGAUCAGAAGCAGAAAUGAACCAUCAUGAAGGAACAAACGGACCAAUCACAGCCCGUGUUGCUGCCAUGUGAUGAACCUCAGCCUCAGAGUAUUUAUUGUUUUCAUGCUUCCUGUUCAGUGAAGAUCUGCUGGAAACUGAGUUUCUGUGAAACCUGAAGAUAAAAACUGAACUCAGAUGGAAACAGAACUAAAAGGAACCAAAGUGAAGAACAUCUUCAGGAAUAUUUACUAUAUACACUAAUUAAUUUAUCCAGUAAUCACAUCAUUUAUUACUAAUUUAUUAUCAAAGACUUGCUGUUUCUAUUAUCCCAACAUUUGGUGACAGAGAUGCUGAAGCUUAGAGAUGGAGAUUAAAAACUUGUUGAAAGUAAAAGACAGAAAAAUGAUGAAAAUGUUAAUCAGUCGAUAUUUUCAUCAAUAA